rnacentral:rRNA from 1 species
UACGAAGGGUGCAAACGUUGCUCGGAAUUAUUGGGCGUAAAGCGCACGUAGGCGGCUUAGCAAGUCGGAAGUGAAAGCCCUUGGCUCAACCAAGGAAGUGCUUUCGAAACUGCUGAGCUUGAGUAGUUAAGAGGAUCGCGGAAUUCCCGGUGUAGAGGUGAAAUUCGUAGAUAUCGGGAGGAACACCAGUGGCGAAGGCGGCGAGCUGGUCCAUUACUGACGCUGAGGCGCGAAAGCGUGGGUAGCAAACAGG